GCUUAGCAACCUGCUCGGGACCCCUCUCUGUGACUGUGAGCUGUUCUGUUCUUUUGCCUAUUAAACUCCUGCUCCAAACUCACUCGAUGUGUGUGUGCAUGUCCUUGACCUCAAUAUCUGGUCGUGUGACCAAGAACCUCAGUAUUCACCCCAGACAACAAGGCUGCUUCAUUUUGAGGGCUCGUCUGGGAUUUGAAGGUGACUUCAUCAGAAUGGAAAGUCUCUGGCUGACAAACAAUUGCCUCCUCAAAUACCAAGCUUUGCUGCUAAAGGGAUCUGCAGUCCAGCUGAAAACCUGCCCUUGCCUGAGCCCAGCCACUUUCUCCCAGAGAAAACUGGAGAACCUAAACAUGAUUGUGAACAGAAUGGCUUCCGGUGGCCUGGGACUCCUUGGGGAAACAGAAAAUGCACCACAAAUCCCAUUUUAGGAAAAAUCUGUUUUCCUCGGAGCCCCUGGAAUUAAAGAAACCAUCAAGCUUCAGAUGGUGCUGAAAAUGGAGCCGAAAAUGAAACUGCCCUCCUACGAGGGACCCUUAAAUCAACCCCAGGAGGAGCCCUAGCUGCUGUUCCCCACACAACGCCACUCUCCAGCAGGAAGUAGCCAGAAGAAAUCGUCACCCAGUUUCCCCUAGCAGCAGCGCAGUAAGAUUGAGGAGCUAAAAACAGACUUGGGUGGAUGUCUGCAGCUGCAAGAAGAUGUGUGGGAACAGACACAGAAACUCUCCCUCCCAGAUAAGCAAGACAAAGAAACACAGAAUAAGAGUCCAUCUAUGUGGUCAGAGAAUGGGAUAAGAGCUGAUUUAAAAAAACUCUGCUCUAUAUAGAAGGCACACCUGGUCCCAACCAAACCACUGGACCCUAGGAGGAUAAGACCUCCUCUGCUCAUGAGCCCCCUCCUCAGUAGCCCAUUUAUAAAAACCCUGACAAUUUUACUACCACUUGGCAACCCGCUCGGGACCCCUCUCUGUGAUGGAGAGCUGUUCUUUUCUUUUGCCUAUUAAACUCCUGCUCCAAA
rnacentral:lncRNA from 1 species